rnacentral:rRNA from 1 species
GAUCAUGGCUCAGGAUGAACGCUGGCGGCGUGCUUAACACAUGCAAGUCGAACGAGAAGUGAAGACGGAAACCUUCGGGCGGAAGACUUUAUUUCGAGUGGCGGACGGGUGAGUAACGCGUGGGUAACCUGCCUCAUACAGGGGGAUAACAGUUGGAAACGACUGUUAAUACCGCAUAAGACCACAGCACCGCAUGGUGCGGGGUAAAAACUCCGGUGGUAUGAGAUGGACCCGCGUUCGAUUAGCCAGUUGGCGGGG